GCUCAGGAUGAACGCUAGCGGCAGGCCUAAUACAUGCAAGUCGAACGAUAUUAAGGGGCUUGCUCCUUAAGAAAGUGGCGCACGGGUGCGUAACGCGUAUGCAACCUACCUUAAUCAGGGGGAUAGCCCGAAGAAAUUCGGAUUAACACCGCAUAAAAACACAGGAUAGCAUUAUCCAAUGUUCAAAUAUUUAUAGGAUUAAGAUGGGCAUGCGUGUCAUUAGCUAGUUGGCGGGGUAACGGCCCACCAAGGCGACGAUGACUAGGGGAUCUGAGAGGAUGACCCCCCACACUGGUACUGAGACACGGACCAGACUCCUACGGGAGGCAGCAGUAAGGAAUAUUGGUCAAUGGAGGCAACUCUGAACCAGCCAUGCCGCGUGCAGGAAGACUGCCCUAUGGGUUGUAAACUGCUUANNNUANUUAUCCGGGAAUAAACCUUUCUACGUGUAGAGAGCUGAAUGUACCGGAAGAAUAAGGAUCGGCUAACUCCGUGCCAGC
rnacentral:rRNA from 1 species